AGUUCAGGAGCUUCCUCCAUGGCAUCCUUCCUUUUCGACUGUUGACUUAUUUUUUACAUUCGAAACCUGAUCGCUUGGUCGCUUGGAAAUGGUGGAUUUCAGUUUGCAUGGCAAUUAAAGUGAAGUCUGUUCCAUUUCCGCAUUUCUGUUAGAAUAUAUGCAACAGUCCAAACUCGACAUGGAUGACAAACAAUUUCACUGGAGCCAGUGGCAACUGCUCGAUUCUAUCCUUCCUACUGGUGGCUUUGCCCAUUCGUUCGGUCUCGAGGCUGCAAUUCAAGCUCGCAUUGUCUCACAACCAGAAGAUCUCAAAACGUUUGUGAUCCAUUUGUUAGACAACACUGGAAGUUUGCUUCUUCCUUUUGUGCAUUCAACCACACUAUCACCUGAUUUAGAAACUUGGGAGAAAAAUGACAGAUUCUUGAAUGCAAUUUUGACAAAUGAAGUUAGUCGAAAGGCAUCCGUUACGCAAGGAUCGGCACUCAUGAGAGUUGCAGCAAUAGUAUUUUCUGAAAUCUCGUCUCUGAAAGCGAUGAGAGAAACCUCCACAGGGACCGGGGCUGUUUCCUUCCACCACGCUCCCAUAUUCGGGCUAAUCUGCGGUCUACUAGGAUGGGAUAGCACGAUGUCGCAGAGGGCGUAUCUGUUUAUUACCCUGAGAGACGUGAUUUCUGCUGCAACAAGACUGAAUUUAGUAGGACCUUUGGGUGCAGCUGUGUUGCAACAUCAGCUUGCGCUUGUUGCUGAAGACACAUUGAAAAAAUGGAUGAACCGUCCUGUUGAAGAAGCUUGCCAAACGGUUCCUCUGUUAGAGACAGUACAGGGAUGCCAUACGUACCUGUUUUCUAGGCUGUUCUGUUCUUGAAAAGUUUUGAAGUGUCCAAUUCUUUGCUUCCUGUGAUGUUGGGCAUACGAGCGGCCCUUCUUUCCUGGGUUCGUAUUUUCAUCCAAUUCCAUUCGAACACGUGAACAUGAACGAACCUCGGUAUACAUAAGUCACCUCGCUCCCAUCAAUUGCGUGUGUGGUGUCACAAUCGUACUCUUGCGAUAGUAGGUAGGACAACAAUUGUGCGGCAUUUGAUUUGUUUUAAUCUAGCGAACAAGUUAGUCGUAAGAAAUUUGGAUUUUGUAGACAA